UUAACUCAUAUUUGUAUGGAAUGGGAUCGUUUGCGUACAUUUGCCGUUAGGGGCGCUGUUCCAACCGCAUACAAAAUUGGGUUA
rfam:Bombyx mori DNA, contig: Bm_scaf34_contig20533, strain: p50T/Dazao, build 2, whole genome shotgun sequence.